rnacentral:rRNA from 1 species
AUGAACGCUAGCUACAGGCUUAACACAUGCAAGUCGAGGGGCAGCAUGGUCUUAGCUUGCUAAGGCUGAUGGCGACCGGCGCACGGGUGAGUAACACGUAUCCAACCUGCCGUCUACUCUUGGCCAGCCUUCUGAAAGGAAGAUUAAUCCAGGAUGGGAUCAUGAGUUCACAUGUCCGCAUGAUUAAAGGUAUUUUCCGGUAGACGAUGGGGAUGCGUUCCAUUAGAUAGUAGGCGGGGUAACGGCCCACCUAGUCAACGAUGGAUAGGGGUUCUGAGAGGAAGGUCCCCCACAUUGGAACUGAGACACGGUCCAAACUCCUACGGGAGGCAGCAGUGAGGAAUAUUGGUCAAUGGGCGAUGGCCUGAACCAGCCAAGUAGCGUGAAGGAUGACUGCCCUAUGGGUUGUAAACUUCUUUUAUAAAGGAAUAAAGUCGGGUAUGCAUACCCGUU